CCUACGGGUGGCAGCAGUGAGGAAUAUUGGUCAAUGGUCGCAAGCCUGAACCAGCCAAGCCGCGUGAGGGAAGAAGGUCCAAUGAAUCGUAAACCUCUUUUGUAAGGGAACAAAGCCAGUUACGCGUCCCCGUCUGAGUGUACCUUACGAAUAAGCAUCGGCUAACUCCGUGCCAGCCGCCGCGGUAAUACGGGGGGUGCGAGCUUUAUCCGGAUUUAUUGGGUUUAAAGGGUGCGGAGGCGGGCUGUUAAGUCAGCGGUCAAAGCCCGAGGCUCAACGCCGGCACUGCCUUUGAAACUGGCAGGCUAGAGAGGGGGAGAAGUAGGCGGAAUGCAUGGUGUAGCGGUGAAAUGCAUAGAGAUCGUGCAGAACUCCGAUUGCGAAGGCAGCAUGCCGGGACAAAACUGACGCUGAGGCACGAAAGCGUGGGUAGCGAACAGGAUUAGAUACCCGUGUAGUC
rnacentral:rRNA from 1 species